rnacentral:rRNA from 1 species
CGACCGGCGCACGGGUGAGUAACGCGUAUCCAACCUUCCGUACACUCAGGGAUAGCCUUUCGAAAGAAAGAUUAAUACCUGAUGGUAUGAUGAGAUUGCAUGAUAGCAUCAUUAAAGAUUUAUCGGUGUACGAUGGGGAUGCGUUCCAUUAGGUAGUAGGCGGGGUAACGGCCCACCUAGCCAACGAUGGAUAGGGGUUCUGAGAGGAAGGUCCCCCACAUUGGAACUGAGACACGGUCCAAACUCCUACGGGAGGCAGCAGUGAGGAAUAUUGGUCAAUGGACGAGAGUCUGAACCAGCCAAGUAGCGUGAAGGAUGAAGGUCCUACGGAUUGUAAACUUCUUUUAUAAGGGAAUAAACCCUCCCACGUGUGGGAGCUUGUAUGUACCUUAUGAAUAAGCAUCGGCUAACUCCGUGCCAGCAGCCGCGGUAAUACGGAGGAUGCGAGCGUUAUCCGGAUUUAUUGGGUUUAAAGGGAGCGCAGACGGGUCGUUAAGUCAGCUGUGAAAGUUUGGGGCUCAACCUUAAAAUUGCAGUUGAUACUGGCGUCCUUGAGUGCGGUUGAGGUGUGCGGAAUUCGUGGUGUAGCGGUGAAAUGCUUAGAUAUCACGAAGAACUCCGAUUGCGAAGGCAGCACACUAAUCCGUAACUGACGUUCAUGCUCGAAAGUGUGGGUAUCAAACAGGAUUAGAUACCCUGGUAGUCCACACGGUAAACGAUGGAUACUCGCGGUUGGCGAUAUACUGUCAGAGGCUUAGCGAAAGCGUUAAGUAUUUCCACCUCGGGAAACAGUUACG